AGUGAACGCUAGCGGUAGGCCUAACACAUGCAAGUCGAACGGCAGCACAGUAAGAGCUUGCUCUUACGGGUGGCGAGUGGCGGACGGGUGAGGAAUACAUCGGAAUCUACUUUUUCGUGGGGGAUAACGCAGGGAAACUUACGCUAAUACCGCAUACGACCUACGGGUGAAAGCAGGGGAUCUUCGGACCUUGUGCGAUUGAAUGAGCCGAUGUCGGAUUAGCUAGUUGGCGGGGUAAAGGCCCACCAAGGCGACGAUCCGUAGCUGGUCUGAGAGGAUGAUCAGCCACACUGGAACUGAGACACGGUCCAGACUCCUACGGGAGGCAGCAGUGGGGAAUAUUGGACAAUGGGCGCAAGCCUGAUCCAGCCAUGCCGCGUGGGUGAAGAAGGCCUUCGGGUUGUAAAGCCCUUUUGUUGGGAAAGAAAAGCAGCAGGUUAAUACCCCGCUGUUCUGACGGUACCCAAAGAAUAAGCACCGGCUAACUUCGUG
rnacentral:rRNA from 1 species